rnacentral:rRNA from 1 species
ACGUAAUAGAUACCCAGGUAGUCCACGCCCUAAACGAUGUCUACUAGUUGUUGGUGGAGUAAAAUCCAUGAGUAAACGCAGCUAAACGCGUGAAGUAGACCGCCUGGGGAGUACGGUCGCAAGAUUAAAACUCAAAUGAAUUGACGGGGGCCCGCACAAGCGGUGGAUUAUGUGGAUUAAUUCGAUGCAACGCGAAAACCUUACCUGGCCUUGACAUGUAACGAACUUUCCAGAGAUGGAUUGGUGCUCGAAAGAGAACGUUAACACAGGUGCUGCAUGGCUGUCGUCAGCUCGUGUCGUGAGAUGUUGGGUUUAAGUCCCGCAACGAGCGCAACCCUUGCCAUUAAUUGCCAUCAUUUAGUUGGGCACUUUAAUGGGACUGCCGGUGACAACCGGAGGAAGUGGGGAUGACGUCAAGUCCUCAUGGCCCUUAUGGCCAGGGC